AAGCUUUUCUUUGAGUCGUUGUGCGUCUGCACGCCUUGCGCAUACCUGUGCGGCGUUCCUAUGAUGCUUCAAUGAAUUAGGAAAGGCGAGAUGC
rnacentral:snoRNA from 1 species